rnacentral:rRNA from 1 species
AUUGAACGCUGGCGGCAGGCCUAACACAUGCAAGUCGAGCGGCAGCGGGAAAGUAGCUUGCUACUUUUGCCGGCGAGCGGCGGACGGGUGAGUAAUGCCUGGGAAAUUGCCCAGUCGAGGGGGAUAACAGUUGGAAACGACUGCUAAUACCGCAUACGCCCUACGGGGGAAAGCAGGGGACCUUCGGGCCUUGCGCGAUUGGAUAUGCCCAGGUGGGAUUAGCUAGUUGGUGAGGUAAUGGCUCACCAAGGCGGCGAUCCCUAGCUGGUCUGAGAGGAUGAGCAGCCACACUGGAACUGAGACACGGUCCAGACUCCUACGGGAGGCAGCAGUGGGGAAUAUUGCACAAUGGGGGAAACCCUGAUGCAGCCAUGCCGCGUGUGUGAAGAAGGCCUUCGGGUUGUAAAGCACUUUCAGCGAGGAGGAAAGGUCAGUAGCUAAUAUCUGCUGACUGUGACGUUACUCGCAGAAGAAGCACCGGCUAACUCCGUGCCAGCCGCCGCCGUAAUAC